CAUAUAUAAAAUGUUGUAUAUGUAUUGUUUAGUAUAUUCAGGAGUGUUCAUGGCUGAAAAUUCAUUGAGGUAUUGUAAUCUCCCUUUCAGAAGUACCCACAGUUUAAGUGAAGAUUUGUUGGGGAUGUGAUAUUAAACCUCAAGGAACAAAUCUCUCCAAGAAGUGGAAAGAUUCAGAGAGCGUCCAGAGGAGGCAGGGUCUGGCCAGGUUUGGGUGUGCGAGUGGUAUCUAAGCACGGGGCACAGAGCACCCCAGGUCCUUGCUUCCACCCUGUGGAUUGAUCUGCUAUUUGCUCGUCUGUUAUUCAUCGACUGUUUACUGAAUGCUCUAAUGUGCCGGGCACCAGGGCUCUGGCAUUGAGGACCAUAGAGCCUGCCUUCAGACACUGCCCUUUAGAGAAGAAGACACAAGAAUGGCAAACAAUCUUGCAGGGUCCUGCCGGACACACAAAAGUGGGGAAGAAUGCAGAAACAAGACUGAAGGCAGGAGGAGAAGGGGUAACAGGGGAUGAAUGGUUGGAUGGCAUCACCAACUCAAUGGAUAUGAGUUUGAGCAAGCUCUGGGAGAUGGGGAAGGACAGAGAAGUCUGGUGUGCUGCAGUCUGUAGGGUCGCAGAGAGUCGGACACAACCGAGUGACUCAACAACAACAAAGCUUACUGAAGGGACUCUGGGCAGUACAGAGGCUUGCUUUUCAGUCAACAUACCUGGAGGCAAUAGGAGGUGAAAUUUGAUGCUGCUGGCCUUGUUCUCUUGUCUGUUUUGUUUUUCAUCUUAGUAAAAAUUAUUUGCAUGCAAAACCAGUAGAAAAUUGACAGGUCAGAAUCUGUUCAGAAGAGUUGUCAUGUCAGACCCUGUUUUAGAAAGAGCUGAUGGCUGGAAGUCAAAGACACUGAUUUUAUGAGUGUUCACUGCAGCCCUUCUCCCACCCUGGGACUCAGUUUCCUACUCUAUACAUUUGGGGAUUGACCAGCUUUCAAAGACCUUUAUAGUUCUUAUGCUCUUUGGUUCUUUAAAAGGAAGCC
rnacentral:lncRNA from 1 species